AGUGAACGCUGGCGGUAGGCCUAACACAUGCGAGUCGAACGGCAGCACAGUAAGAGCUUGCUCUUACGGGUGGCGAGUGGCGGACGGGUGAGGAAUACAUCGGAAUCUACUUUUUCGUGGGGGAUAACGUAGGUAAACUUACGCUAAUACCGCAUACGACCUACGGGUGAAAGCAGGGGAUCUUCGGACCUUGCGCGAUUGAAUGAGCCGAUGUCGGAUUAGCUAGUUGGCGGGGUAAAGGCCCACCAAGGCGACGAUCCGUAGCUGGUCUGAGAGGAUGAUCAGCCACACUGGAACUGAGACACGGUCCAGACUCCUACGGGAGGCAGCAGUGGGGAAUAUUGGACAAUGGGCGCAAGCCUGAUCCAGCCAUACCGCGUGGGUGAAGAAGGCCUUCGGGUUGUAAAGCCCUUUUGUUGGGAAAGAAAAGCAGCAGGUUAAUACCCCGCUGUUCUGACGGUACCCAAAGAAUAAGCACCGGCUAACUUCGUG
rnacentral:rRNA from 1 species